rnacentral:rRNA from 1 species
CCCUUAGAUGUCCUGGGCUGCACGCGCGCUACACUGGAAGUUACGGAUUGAGAUACUACCUUGUCCGAAAUGGUCCGGGUAAUCACCUAAAAGCUUGUCAUAAUUGGAAUGGGUUAUUGUAACUAGUAAUCCUGAACGAGGAAUUCCUAGUAAGUCCCAGUCAACAGCUGGUACUGAUUACGUCCCUGCCCUUUGUACACACCGCCCGUCGCUACUACUGAUUGGACGUUUAAGCAAGAUUUUUAAACACUGACAGUGUGUAGUUCACGCUAUACUACAGUGAGAAGAAGAAGAUCGAGCUUACUUGUCUAGAGGAAGUAAAAGUCGUAACA